CCAUGAUUUUGGAAUGAGAUGUUUGACAAGCAGGUGUCCACAUACACUACAUAACCACAAGCUAUGGGUCAGUGAUGCAGAUGUACCCAGGAGGAGGCCCUGAGAAGGCGGGGGUAGAGAGCUUUGGCUUCCACGAUAUGCUCCAUGAGCUUCCCAUCUGUCAUGUCAACGCACUGCUGGCAGGGACACUGGACACGGAGGCUAAAGACAUAGACAUGCUGGACAGGCCAAUGGAGACAAGUCCAACCUGACCCAGAGAAAGCAGAAGGCAAUGGGGGCAGCCCAGACACAGAGGACCAGAGCAUGGAGACUAGUACCAGUACAGACCCUGCCGAGGACAAGGAGAGGGAGAAACGGAGAGAGAUCAACACAUAGUGAAGCAGCAAGUUGUCUCUGUUAUUUGUCACACUUCCUGGUGCUUGUGUGCUCCAAAGAUUUCAACGGUGUACAAUUGAAGAGCAACUGUGUGUUGCGUUUCAGGCCCAGGAGAAGAUGGAGAAGAGGAAGAAACUGCUGCUGCAGGCGUGCCGGAGGGUAGGAACGCUGUCGGGUUGGUGAUAGCCAGUCGGUUCAACCCCUGUCCAGUUCUACUGGGCCUCAUCAAGUUCCUCGCCCCCUCCAGACCCUUUGCAGUGUACUCUCAAUAUAAAGAGGUGUUGCCUAACAGGACCACCCUGUGCUGCUGAUGAGUGGGGGCGGGGCUUGCCUCCUCUCCGGGAUGACCGUUACUACAGAUACAACUAAAGACAGGCUCAACUACAGCAGAAGAGCCGGCCACAAAGAGACGAACUCAGAGACCACAGAGGGAUGACACUAUUGAGGGGUGCCCAGAGUUUGUCUAAUUUAAAUCAUUGAUGACUUGAUUUACAUGUACUUGUGGAGGUGGGGAUAGAAUCACUGAAGUGUCUCUCCCUCCUGCUACCAGUUAUAAACGAUCAUGGUUGUUAUUCAGCCCUGGAGCUGCUCUCCAAAGCUCUAAGCUCCCAAAUGUAGCAUUUUGUUUGUAUUUUAUACUCUUUUAGCAGAAAGUGCCGUGAUGUAAAGCAGCCAUUUGCUAUCACAGCCUCCUUACUGUGCUGCAUUAGUGGGAAUUUCAAGAAAUACAGUACUGUUAAAAUACUAUUACUCUUGAUAACCAACUGUGUUGCUGAGGUAUUAAAAUCCUGAGAUACGUGU